rnacentral:rRNA from 1 species
GAUGAACGCUGGCGGCAUGCCUAAUACAUGCAAGUCGAACGAGAGACCUUCGGGUCUCUAGUGGCGAACGGGUGAGUAACACGUAGGGAACCUGCCCGCGCACCGGGAAUACGCUCUGGAAACGGAGAACAAAUCCCGAUGUACAGUAAGGAGGCAUCUUCUUUCUGUGAAACAUCCUCUAGGGGAUGGGGCGCGGAUGGACCUGCGGUGCAUUAGUUUGUUGGCGGGGUAAAGGCCCACCAAGACGAUGAUGCAUAGCCGGCCUGAGAGGGCGGACGGCCACAUUGGGACUGAGACACGGCCCAG